UACGUAGGGUGCGAGCGUUGUCCGGAAUUAUUGGGCGUAAAGAGCUCGUAGGCGGUGUGUCACGUCGUUCGUGAAAACCUGCAGCUUAACUGUGGGCGUGCGGUCGAUACGGGCAUCACUGGAGUUCGGCAGGGGAGACUGGAAUUCCUGGUGUAGCGGUGAAAUGCGCAGAUAUCAGGAGGAACACCGGUGGCGAAGGCGGGUCUCUGGACAGUUCCUGACGCUGAGGCACGAAGGCCAGGGGAGCAAACGGG
rnacentral:rRNA from 1 species